rnacentral:sRNA from 1 species
GUCAACUACCCCGCCCUGAGGUGCGGAGCUUGUGAAAGCAGGCUGGGUUGACCAGGGAGAGCGGUGAAGAUGCCGCUACGUUUGCAACAGGUCGUUAAGACUCUACCGGCGAAUGCUUCCUCAGUUCGUCGCUCUG